UACGUAGGGUGCAAGCGUUGUCCGGAAUUAUUGGGCGUAAAGAGCUCGUAGGCGGUCUGUCGCGUCUGCUGUGAAAACCUGGGGCUUAACCCCGGGCCUGCAGUGGGUACGGGCAGACUAGAGUGCGGUAGGGGAGACUGGAAUUCCUGGUGUAGCGGUGAAAUGCGCAGAUAUCAGGAGGAACACCAAUGGCGAGGGCAGCUCGCUGGGACGGUACUGACGCUGAGACGCGAAAGCGUGGGGAGCAAACAGG
rnacentral:rRNA from 1 species